AUUGAACGCUGGCGGCGGGCCUAACACAUGCAAGUCGAGCGGAUGACGGGAGCUUGCUCCUGGAUUCAGCGGCGGACGGGUGAGUAAUGCCUAGGAAUCUGCCUGGUAGUGGGGGACAACGUUUCGAAAGGAACGCUAAUACCGCAUACGUCCUACGGGAGAAAGCAGGGGACCUUCGGGCCUUGCGCUAUCAGAUGAGCCUAGGUCGGAUUAGCUAGUUGGUGAGGUAAUGGCUCACCAAGGCGACGAUCCGUAACUGGUCUGAGAGGAUGAUCAGUCACACUGGAACUGAGACACGGUCCAGACUCCUACGGGAGGCAGCAGUGGGGAAUAUUGGACAAUGGGCGAAAGCUUGAUCCAGCCAUGCCGCGUGUGUGAAGAAGGUCUUCGGAUUGUAAAGCACUUUAAGUUGGGAGGAAGGGUUGUAGAUUAAUACUCUGCAAUUUUGACGUUACCGACAGAAUAAGCACCGGCUAACUCUGUGCCAGCCGCCGCCGUAA
rnacentral:rRNA from 1 species